AAACGCAAUUUUAAAGAUAUUCUUAAAGAUACACCUUUUUUAUCAAUAAUAUUCACAAUAAUGAUAACUUUAAGAGUUAUAAUAAUGUUAAUAGAAAAUAUAAAAAAUGUUUCUUUUUGUGAAAUUACAUUAUAUAAUGUUGAAGAUUUACUCUAUUAGACGCUUGGUUAGGAACCAUAUUUUUUUACGCUUUAACCUGUAUGCGGUUUAUGUUUAAAUUUUGUUCGGCUUUCAAAUAAAGGAUAUAUUGUUGAUCAAGAGGAGGAGCAAUUAUCUAAUGGUUAUUAAGAUGAUCUAAGGACAAAGGAUGGAAGAUGAUGAAAUACAAGGCGUCACAUGGUAACCAGAGGUCUUUCAAGUUGACAUGUUUAAGUCACUUUAACCUGCUUUUUCAAAUGAAAGUCAUCUUUAAAUGAAAAUGAAUUCAAUUUUGUUUCUGUCUUUCGUUGAUGCACAGGUUUCUUUUCAGGUUGAUUUCACAUCAGAAAAUUAUGCUCAAUAGCGCUGAGUCAGCCAUGGCGAAACGGAGGAGAAAGUUGGAGAUGAAAGUUGAUUGUUACAAGAAAUUAAAAGUUUUUAAGGUUUGGUCCGAGAUGAAUUAAUUUGCUUUCUGAAUCAACAACAACAACAACAACAAUAUCAUCUUCAUGAUAAUAAUGAUAAUCAACAUAAUUCCCAUUUGAUCCUGAAAUCGGCCUUUCAAUCCAGAAAUCCGCCUCACCUACUAUUCUAGUUGCCGAAAAGUAAAGAAAAGGUGGAAAAAGGGAAAACAAACAAAAGUGAAAGUUGGCCCAUUGAUUUUAAUUAAAGGAACACAAAUUUAAUAAUAACAGCAACAACAACAACAACAAAACCGAUGAUGAUGAGGAUAAGGAUAAAGAUGAUGAUGGACCAAUUUUUGACGGAAAUAAACAUUUAAAGAUUAGGUUACAGUAAACAGUUAAAGGUGUUUUUGGUAAAUUUAAGGUCAUUCAAUUGGUUUGUGUUGAUUUUUGUGGCCUUUUCUUGUGACCUUGUCCAAAAUUGUUUUCCCACAACAGCAAAUGCUACAACCAAUAUUACAAGUGAUACAUAUUGUAUUAAUAAGGUUAUGAAAAAAAGAUUCUUUUCAUCAUCUUUGUUGUUCACCUUCUCCUGACGUGCUCAUGAAUUUUUUAAUUUGUUAACCUUUAUUGAACCGGAAAUAUUUUGAAACAUGGUGCAUAUGUGAUUAUGGUUAUUCAUGGUAAAUUUUGUUAUUGCGUUCCGUAAAAUAUUGUUACCUCUCGCAACCUUCACCUUGCCUCAAUGAAGUUCAAAGCCAGCAAAACAAUGCUAAUCAACUAUAAUAACAUUGAUAAUGUUGGUCUUUGAUGAAACUGAUAUGAUUUCAUUUUUAUUUUCAUUCUCAGCUAUUUAACUCAUAUGCAUGUAAAUAGCUGAUCUUUUAUUGUAACGUGCUCAUGAUUGGUCAAACACAAUCAAUGUUAUUUCACUGCUGUUUCCUUGGACUCGUGACUUGAUCUUUUCUUGGUCAGUUCUUAGGCCCAAUCUCAUGUAAGAUGUUUCCUUUGUUGUUAUUUAUUUGUCAUUAUUAUUUACCUCUCACUGUUAUUGUAACUAUUCACUCUCACGCAACUUGAUUUACUUGAUUUCAUUUUUAUUUAACCAUACAUUUAACCAUUAUUACAACUUUACCAGGCUGCAACUUCAAUAAAAUCACAUCUAUUUCAAGUACAA